rnacentral:rRNA from 1 species
UACGGAGGGGGCUAGCGUUGUUCGGAAUUACUGGGCGUAAAGCGCACGUAGGCGGCUUUGUAAGUUAGAGGUGAAAGCCCGGGGCUCAACUCCGGAAUUGCCUUUAAGACUGCAUCGCUAGAAUUGUGGAGAGGUAAGUGGAAUUCCGAGUGUAGAGGUGAAAUUCGUAGAUAUUCGGAAGAACACCAGUGGCGAAGGCGACUUACUGGACACAUAUUGACGCUGAGGAGCGAAAGUGUGGGGAGCGAACAGG